UACCACACAUUUUGAUCUCAAUAGGAGACUCAUUCCACAUCCUGACCCCUGUCCCAGAUACACAAAAAACUUUUACAUUAGUGCGAAUUAAUGGUUUCUUAAAUAAUUCACAGCCACGUAAACUAUACUCAGAAUCCCUCAUUUCGAACAGCCUCUGGACAUGUCUCAGCAAGGCUUGGUUUUUUGCUUUAAACAAAAUCUGUAGUGUAGUGUACUCCACCAUGUCUCUAAAUUUUAUUAUGUUCAAAGAAAUAAAUAGGGAAUGAGUUGGUUCACGAAAAUGUUUAUUGCAGAUGAUAUGUAUGGCUCAUUUUUUUAUAAGGAAUAUUUGAUUAGUGUUUGAUUUAUAAGUAUUUCCCCACAACUCAAUGCAAUAUGUCAUGUAUGGUGCUAUUAUUAAUGAAAGGUAUAAAGUAAGUAACCCUUCCCCUGAUAGUAUGUCUUUGGCGAUAGAUUUGGACAUUUUUGAUUUAAUAUAGUUUAUAUGUACUUUCCAACUUAGUUUAUUGUCAAUUAUAACACCAAGGAAUUUAUUCUCUGUUACUACCUCAAUUUCCGUAUUGUUUAUAGUCAAAGUUUUAAAUUUAGGUAAUUGUUUAUUUCCAAAUAUAAUACAUUUAGUUUUCCCAAGGUGGAGUGACAAUUUAUUAGCAUCAAACCAAGCCUUGAACUUUCCCAAUUCUUUCACCACCAUGUGCAGAAG